UACGGGGGGGGCAAGCGUUGUUCGGAAUUACUGGGCGUAAAGGGCUCGUAGGCGGCCAACUAAGUCAGACGUGAAAUCCCUCGGCUUAACCGGGGAACUGCGUCUGAUACUGGAUGGCUUGAGGUUGGGAGAGGGAUGCGGAAUUCCAGGUGUAGCGGUGAAAUGCGUAGAUAUCUGGAGGAACACCGGUGGCGAAGGCGGCCCGCUGGACAGUGCGUGACGCUGAGGCGCGAAAGUGUGGGGAGCGAACCGG
rnacentral:rRNA from 1 species